rnacentral:lncRNA from 1 species
AUUUCAUUUUAAAACCCUAGUAUUUCACCCCUUUGAGCUUUGGAUUUUAAACAAAUAGGGUUUAUCUAUAAAAAGGGGUUUAUUGCAUAAAAGAGCUAUCCCAUAAUUUUUCAGAUUUAAUUUGGAGUUGAAAAACUAUUUUAUUUAAAUAGUUAUAAAGCCCUAAAGGCAUUUAUAGGGCAAAUGUAUUUUUAUAUAUUUUAUUUGGAAGGGAAAUGAGUCCCGAAGGUUGAAUCAUAUUAUAAUAUGAUUUUCCAAAUUUUCUGGAAUUUAUUUGAAUCAAUUUGGAGUUCAAAUUCAAAAGAUAUCAAAGAAAUCAGAAAAAAAAGGGAAAAAGAAAAAGGAAAAGAAAACCGGACCGGCCCCGCCAAAUGGGCCGAACCGGCCCCAUCCCGCCUGAGCCGCUGAGCCUAACCGGCCCCGGCAGCGCGCCCGCGCCCGAGCAACUGACGCGCGGGGCCCACGCGUCAGGGUCGUCUUCCCCGAAGGAAAUCGUGCCCGUCACGCCGCCGCGUCCGCGCCGCCGAUCCCGCGCGCCAUGCCCGCCGCGCCGUCUGCUCCAUGCUCCCCGCGACUUGUUGCCCGCAUCAUUAUAAAGCCCGACGCCUCCUCUCUCAUUUCCCCGUCCCCUCUUCUUCGAUUACGCGCCCACGCUGCCCUAAUUCUUCGUCGUCGCUCGCCACUGUCCGCCGCC